rnacentral:rRNA from 1 species
GUUUGAUCAUGGCUCAGAUUGAACGCUGGCGGCACGCCUAACACAUGCAAGUCGAGCGGCAGCGAGAUUAGUAGCAAUACUAAUUGUCGGCGAGCGGCGGACGGGUGAGUAACGCGUAGGAACUUGCCUUUAAGAGGGGGAUAACCAGAGGAAACUUUGGCUAAUACCGCAUAGACUCGAGAGAGGAAAGCUGCCCGCAAGGGUGGCGCUUAGAGAGAGGCCUGCGUCCGAUUAGCUAGUUGGUGAGGUAAAGGCUUACCAAGGCGAUGAUCGGUAACUGGUCUGAGAGGACGACCAGUCACACUGGGACUGAGACACGGCCCAGACUCCUACGGGAGGCAGCAGUGGGGAAUAUUGGACAAUGGGGGAAACCCUGAUCCAGCGAUGCCGCGUGAGUGAAGAAGGCCUUCGGGUCGUAAAGCUCUUUAGGUUGGGAAGAAGGGUAUGAGGUGAAUAGCCUUGUACUUUGACGGUACCGACAGAAUAAGCACCGGCAAACUCUGUGCCAGCAGCCGCGGUAAUACAGAGGGUGCGAGCCUUAAUCGGAAUUACUGGGCGUAAAGGGCGCGUAGGC